rnacentral:rRNA from 1 species
GAUGAACGCUGGCGGCGUGCCUAAUACAUGCAAGUCGAGCGAACAGACGAGGAGCUUGCUCCUCUGACGUUAGCGGCGGACGGGUGAGUAACACGUGGAUAACCUACCUAUAAGACUGGGAUAACUUCGGGAAACCGGAGCUAAUACCGGAUAAUAUAUUGAACCGCAUGGUUCAAUAGUGAAAGACGGUUUUGCUGUCACUUAUAGAUGGAUCCGCGCCGCAUUAGCUAGUUGGUAAGGUAACGGCUUACCAAGGCAACGAUGCGUAGCCGACCUGAGAGGGUGAUCGGCCACACUGGAACUGGGACACGGUCCAGACUCCUACGGGAGGCAGCAGUAGGGAAUCUUCCGCAAUGGGCGAAAGCCUGACGGAGCAACGCCGCGUGAGUGAUGAAGGUCUUCGGAUCGGAAAACUCUGUUAUUAGGGAAGAACAAAUGUGUAAGUAACUAUGCACGUCUUGACGGUACCUAAUCAGAAAGCCACGGCUAACUACGUG